AGAGACAGCAGUCGCCGCGGUAAUACGAAGGGGGCUAGCGUUGCUCGGAAUUACUGGGCGUAAAGGGAGCGUAGGCGGAUCGUUAAGUUGGGGGUGAAAGCCCGGGGCUCAACCCCGGAACUGCCUUGAAACUAGAUGACUGGAAUCUUGGAGAGGUCAGUGGAAUUCCGAGUGUAGAGGUGAAAUUCGUAGAUAUUCGGAAGAACACCAGUGGCGAAGGCGACUGACUGGACAAGUAUUGACGCUGAGGUGCGAAAGCGUGGGUAGCAAACAGGAUUAGAUACCCCCGUAGUCCCUGUCUCUUAUACA
rnacentral:rRNA from 1 species